rnacentral:rRNA from 1 species
AACGAACGCUGGCGGCGUGGUUAAGGCAUGCAAGUCGAACGAGAAAGCACCCUUCGGGGUGCCGGUAAAGUGGCGGAAGGGUGAGUAAUGCAUAGACAACCUACCCUCGAGAGGGGGAUAAUCCCGCGAAAGCGGGACUAAUACCGCGACGAUCUCGAUUUUAUAUGAGGUUGAGAUGAAAGGUGGGGCUUCCGACUUGUCGGAACCUACCGCUCGAGGAUGGGUCUAUGUCCUAUCAGCUUGUUGGUGAGGUAACGGCUCACCAAGGUGACGACGGGUACGGGGCCUGAGAGGGUGUUCCCGCACACUGGGACUGAGACACUGCCCAGACUCCUACGGGAGGCUGCAGUCGAGAAUCCUCGACAAUGAGCGCAAGCUUGAUCGGGCGACGCCGCGUGGAGGAUGAAGGCUUUCGAGUUGUAAACUCCUGUCACGGUGCAGGAAGGUUCCCAAGAUAACAUCAAGGGAAAUUGACCACACCGAGAGGAAGUCACGGCUAACUCUGUGCCAGCAGCCGCGGUAAGACAGAGGUGGCAAGCGUUGUUCGGAAUUACUGGGCAUAAAGGGCGCGUAGGUGGUCAGGUAGGUCAGUGGUGAAAGCCCCCGGCCCAAUCGGGGAAUUGCCUCUGAAACCAUCUGACUGGAGUGCAAAAGGGGAGAGUGGAACUCGAGGUGGAGCGGUGAUAUGCGUAGAUAUCUCGGGGAACGCCGGUGGCGAAAGCGACUCUCUGGUUUGCUACUGACACUGAGGCGCGAAAGCUAGGGGAGCGAACGGGAUUAGAUACCCCGGUAGUCCUAGCCGUAAACGAUGAGCACUAGGUAGAGGGGGUUUCAAGGCCUUCUCUGCUGGAGCUAAUGUGUUAAGUGCUCCGCCUGGGGAGACGGUCGCAAGGCU